rnacentral:misc_RNA from 1 species
UCGUCUUCGGGCGACGGGCCCCAAAAUGAGGGUAUAGGCGUCGAACCUUCAACCGUAGUAAAAUCAUUCGGUUUGGAAGGGACGGCACCGGUGCCGAGUCUCUUCGAGAUGGCGUAGCGCAGCGAUGCCUCGCCGGCGGGGUGCCCGUCAGCACUCCAGAAAUCGACCUCGGAUCAGGUAGGGAUACCCGCUGAACUUAA